AAGUGCAUUCCUCAAAUCAAUAGUGCAAAUAAGGACCGUUGAAGUAUCCAGGCAACAAUCAAAUAAGUGGAACAGAUAUGCAAAUGAUGAUGGAACAGCGAACACCUACAACUUGCAUGUGAAAGGCAGGCUGAGGUGAUGGUCUCCAUGGCCCAUGUAAUUAAGCAGAAGUUUGGUCCUAAAUCUUUGCCAGCAACCUCUGCUACUACAGGCAAUGGGCAUUUAUUAGUCAUCUGCUAUGAGGGACAGGACAUACAAAUGCAACAGCGAGUCUAUCCUUGGAGGAUGUGACAUGCUCACCACUCAUUUUUCACUUUGGACGUCACGUUGUGAGAAAAACCUGAGCACAUUUCUAGGAAGCCAGGAAGAUGUGUAUUGAUGAAGAGAGGUUGAAGAUAAGAGAAAAAAAAAGGGCAAAGUGCUAGGAGAGAUGGGCAAUAACGUGAUCCAGGACACAAAGAAGAAAGCUGAUCUUGGCAAGCCAAAGGGUCACUUCCUUUUCAGAGACUAGGCUGAAGGAGGAAAGAGUGGGUAAAAAUCCACAGUGUUAUAAGAUAUGGAGGGGAGAAGAGGAAGCUCAUGACAGAUCACCUCAACCCUCUUGCCUCAUGUCCUCUGCGGGGGUUACUUGUCCAACUCAAACGUACAUCAGUGGACCAAAGCCCUACAGAAGAGCUGACACCUUCAGGUCUUUUAGGGAUUAAUGGGAGGGUCACUGGGGUUUCUACUAUAAUUGCUCAUGAACCACCAGCAGCGUGCUUCCCACCAAUGAGGAGAUAUAUUUAAUUAGCUUGUUGACUGAGUAUUUGCUGCACAGUUGUAGCAGAGAGAGUUGGCACAAAAACGGUUCCCCUGCUGAUCUGGGGCAUGCACCUCCACGAGUACAUACAGGUGCCCAAGAAGAUUGGGCUCACACUCAGAGUACAGUGGCGGUGAGUCACAUGUGCGACAAAGGAUGAUCUCACAGCUCCAGGUGCUGAAGAUCCAUUCUCACCUCAUGGUGUGGCUGUCCAACGGGCUCUGAAGGUUCUGAGGUUCCUGUCUUCAGUGGGCUUAGAGGGUCUCUCAGGCCCUUUUCCAGAGCCCACCAUCAGCAGCUACGUCCCGAUGGAUGCUGAUGGGAAGUCCAGAUCUGGUGACCUUUCAGAGCUCAGAGAUCAUCCUCUGGCUGACGGGGGGAAGGGAGGAGAGAGAUCUCAGUGCUCCCCAAAGGGCAACUCCCUGGCCGGCCACCAAACCAGCUUGACCUCUGGAUCCUGAUUCCGAACUGGCAGGCUCUGAAGCUGCGUCUGAGUCUUUCAGCCAAUCCCAACGCAUUUCCUACCUGAAUUCAUUUGACUUCAUUACUUCACUCCCCCAAACUGACUAAUGAGCUGAUUUCUUGGCAUUGACCUUCUCUCAGAAGAGACCUUGGUAAGCGAUGAGAGGUUGAUGUCAAUCCGGUUCCAAACUUGAAGCCCGGGGCGAUCCUGAAUUGGGCUGGGCCCAUGACAAGUAUCGGUGAAUGUUCCCACCACACUUGACUGCACCUGGGUGGAUAGAAUUCUGGACUUGGAGUCUGAACCCUGCUCAGACACUCCAUAACUGUGUGACCCUGGGCCACUUUUGCC